rnacentral:rRNA from 1 species
GAUGAACGCUGGCGGCGUGCCUAAUACAUGCAAGUCGAGCGAACAGACGAGGAGCUUGCUCCUCUGACGUUAGCGGCGGACGGGUGAGUAACACGUGGAUAACCUACCUAUAAGACUGGGAUAAAUUCGGGAAACCGGAGCUAAUACCGGAUAAUAUAUUGAACCGCAUGGUUCAAUAGUGAAAGACGGUUUUGCUGUCACUUAUAGAUGGAUCCGCGCCGCAUUAGCUAGUUGGUAAGGUAACGGCUUACCAAGGCAACGAUGCGUAGCCGACCUGAGAGGGUGAUCGGCCACACUGGAACUGAGACACGGUCCAGACUCCUACGGGAGGCAGCAGUAGGGAAUCUUCCGCAAUGGGCGAAAGCCUGACGAAGCAACGCCGCGUGAGUGAUGAAGGUCUUCGGAUCGUAAAACUCUGUUAUUAGGGAAGAACAAAUGUGUAAGUAACUAUGCACGUCUUGACGGUACCUAAUCAGAAAGCCACGGCUAACUACGUG